rnacentral:rRNA from 1 species
UGAGGAAUAUUGGUCAAUGGGCGCAAGCCUGAACCAGCCAUCCCGCGUGAAGGAUGACGGCCCUAUGGGUUGUAAACUUCUUUUAUACAGGAAGAAAAAUCCCUACGUGUAGGGACUUGCCGGUACUGUAUGAAUAAGCAUCGGCUAACUCCGUGCCAGCAGCCGCGGUAAUACGGAGGAUGCAAGCGUUAUCCGGAUUCAUUGGGUUUAAAGGGUGCGUAGGCGGCUUUUUACGUCAGUGGUGAAAUCCUGCCGCUUAACGGUAGAAUUGCCAUUGAGACUGAAGGGCUUGAGUACAAUUGAGGUAAGCAGAAUGGGUAGUGUAGCGGUGAAAUGCUUAGAUAUUACACAGAACACCAAUUGCGAAGGCAGCUUACUAAACUGUCACUGACGCUGAUGCACGAAAGCGUGGGGAGCGAACA